rnacentral:rRNA from 1 species
GGAUCCCAUCAGAACUCCGCAGUUAAGCGUGCUUGGGCGAGAGUAUUACUAGGAUGGGUGACCUCUUGGGAAGUCCUCGUGUUGCACCC